rnacentral:rRNA from 1 species
AUUGAACGCUGGCGGCAGGCCUAACACAUGCAAGUCGAGCGGCAGCGGGAGAAAGCUUGCUUUCUUGCCGGCGAGCGGCGGACGGGUGAGUAAGGUAUGGGGAUCUGGCCGAAGGCGGGGGAUAACCACUGGAAACGGUGGCUAAUACCGCAUAAUCUCUAAGGAGCACAGUGGGGGACCUUCUGGCCUCACACCUUCGAAUGAACCCAUAUGAGAUUAGCUAGUAGGUGGGGUAAAGGCUCACCUAGGCGACGAUCUCUAGCUGGUCUGAGAGGAUGAUCAGCCACACUGGGACUGAGACACGGCCCAGACUCCUACGGGAGGCAGCAGUGGGGAAUAUUGCACAAUGGGCGCAAGCCUGAUGCAGCCAUGCCGCGUGUAUGAAGAAGGCCUUCGGGUUGUAAAGUACUUUCAGUCGUGAGGAAGGUGUUAAGGUUAAUAGUCUUAGCAAUUGACGUUAGCGACAGAAGAAGCACCGGCUAACUCCGUGCCAGCCGCCGCAGUAA